CGUGAGAUUCCCAGGAGUUUCCACUUGGUGAUCAGCACUGAACACAGACCACCAACCAUGGAGUUUGGGCUGAGCUGGGUUUUCCUUGUUGCUUUUUUAAAAGGUGUCCAAUGUGAGGUGCAGCUGGUGGAGUCUGGGGGAGGCUUGGUCAAGCCUGGGGGGUCCCUGAGGCUCUCCUGUACAGCUUCUGGAUUCACCUUUGGUGAUUAUGAAUACGCCGCGUCUGUGAAAAGCAGAUUCACCAUCUCAAGAGAUGAUUCCAAAAGCAUCGCCUAUCUGCAAAUGAACAGCCUGAAAACCGAGGACACGGCCGUGUAUUACUGUACCACAGACACAGUGACGGGAGAUCUCACUGGAUCAUCUCGAGGGCCCAUCUGCACCCCUGUCUCCCGAAGACUCCUGGAGAGGCUGCGGGACGGGCAGAAGCAGGAGCCCGUGUGA